CCUACGGGAGGCUGCAGUCGAGAAUCAUUCACAAUGGGGGAAACCCUGAUGGUGCGACGCCGCGUGGGGGAAUGAAGGUCUUCGGAUUGUAAACCCCUGUCAUGUGGGAGCAAAUUAAAAAGAUAGUACCACAAGAGGAAGAGACAGCUAACUCUGUGCCAGCAGCCGCGGUAAUACAGAGGUCUCAAGCGUUGUUCGGAAUCACUGGGCGUAAAGCGUGCGUAGGCUGUUUCGUAAGUCGUGUGUGAAAGGCGCGGGCUCAACCCGCGGACGGCACAUGAUACUGCGAGACUAGAGUAAUGGAGGGGGAACCGGAAUUCUCGGUGUAGCAGUGAAAUGCGUAGAUAUCGAGAGGAACACUCGUGGCGAAGGCGGGUUACUGGACAUUAACUGACGCUGAGGCACGAAGGCCAGGGGAGCGAAAGGGAUUAGAUACCCGUGUAGUC
rnacentral:rRNA from 1 species